CAAGGAGAUGCGCGCAGGCGCUCCUCCGCCGGCUUCUGAUUGGUGCGGAGAAAAAAGGCAGGCCGAGGUUUAGGAGUGCCGGAGUGGGUGGAGUAGCCCGAUGGGGACUGGGCAAGCGCAGAUGUUCUCGCUAGACAUCCUUCCCCUCCACCCUGGACCCUCCUAUUAGAACUAGAGUUGUAGAAAGGAGAGAUGAGCGGGACUUAGGAGGACUUGACCCAGGCGGCCCGGGCGUAGCGACCGGACAGUCAAGCCUUUGUGUGCCUAAUAAAUACGCGAGAACUCAGGACUCUCAGGACUGUCAUCCCCAGGAAUAGACCAUUCGGUGUCGGCGUCCACGGCGCGCAAGGCACGCUCACUUAAUUGAUUUCGAGCUUUUGCUAAACUCCGAGACAGCCCCGGAGCGCACGGAACGGCCGGGGCGGUGGAGGAAGGAGCGAGAAUCCCGCCCCGCCCCCGAGUUUGCUUUAGUCUUGAACCUGAACCACCUGACAAGCCUGAGAUAGCCACAACAUAUGGCCAAUCAAAGCAUCUUGCCCAGAGACAAGAGUCUUAGUCAUCACAAGAGGACAAAAACAGCCUUACGGUGUUGAAGGAGACACUACAGUAUUAUCGGGUUUGAUGUAAGCAGCACAAUGUCAUCCUCAAAAAAAAAAAAAAAGAGCAUUUGGAGGACCUCACCACCCCCAGGGAAUUUCUCUUCUGCUUUAACUCUGCACCGGAUCUCCCAAAUCAGAGUAGAGAAUACAUUGACAAACAUAGAUCUUUCUCUUUUGUGUUCUGGUUGAUAUUUAUUGUCAUAGGGUAAUUGAAAAGGAUUAUUUCUAUUGUGAUAUCUCCCAAGAAGUCUUGAUGUAUGAAUUGGAGGCACCUUGCUAUAAAAGCACUUGGAAAGUGGUGUUUUGU